UGUCGACGGAGUUGUUUGGUGUGGAGCUGUAAUUGUUUUGUGUACUAAUUAGAUUUUUGUACAGACUGUUCCAUGUGCAAUUUUUUUAAAGUUUACUUGCAGUUUGUGUUUGCUGAAAUGUUCCUUUUGCAAGUUUGUGACGUUUUUAAACCGCAAACCGCGUCUUCUCGGCGCCUCGAGCACGUGGCGAGAAGUAAGAAGAAUGAAUAGAGAGAAAAAAAACCCUGAUUUUUGAUGAUGUAAAAUGUAAUCCCAUGACAGUCUGCUCUGUAAGACUGAUUCUGUCAGAUCACAGAAGCUAAGCAGUGUGGGGCCUGGUUAGUACCUGGAUGUGAUACCUUGUCGCAACACCAGGUCCUCUGUGUGUUUCUCUGGGUGUAACUGAAGUUGCAUCAGGAAGGGCAUCUGGCAUAAAACAUGUGGCAAAUACCAAUGCAUAUCUGGCUGCAUCUGCUGUGGUGGCCCCAAAGAAAAGGAAGUGGCAGACUGGACAACAAAAUAAGGUGUGAUGCCAUGAAGUUACCAGUGGAGACCUGGUGUUUGGCUGACAGGUGAAUGCUGCUGUGGACUAAAGCUCGACUGAAGACUUAGUUUACACAGGAUGAGCUGAUAUGAUGGCAUCCUCUGGAAAGAGUGCAACUCUUCUUACUGGGCAUCUGCUGCUACAGGUCCCCUCACCUACUGUUUGACUCGGUCAUCAGUCUGUUUUGAUGUCUGCUGUUGAGGACUUUAUACAGAUGUUCAGGUGACCGGGAUGUGCUCGGUCAGUGCUCAACAGUUUACAUGGUGAGACCUCUGUUGCCCGACACCUUUUUGACAGAACUCUGCAGCGUUGUUGCUGAAAGCACCAGUCUUCAUUCUUCGGUGAAGCAUGGAACUACCAUGGCAUUUUUGGCGUCAGAUGAAAAAGUGGCACUUGAUUUGAAGAAAAAGAUCAAAUAUAUACAUAAACUAGCUUAUACUAUAUUAAAUUAUCCAAGGUAAAAGUUUGUGUGGUCAAAAUCCUAUGUGACUGAGUCAACACUUCUAUAUAGAGAAGUGCCAUACCAUGGCUUACAGAUCGUCUUCUGGCUAAAGUUGUCUGUUUCUUCCGGGACGGAUCACUUGGAAAUGCUCAGUAAGAUGGUUAAUGAUUUACCAUUUUGGGGAUGGAAACAGCUGAAUUCCACUUGGGAGUGUUUAAAUUAGAUGUGUUGACAGUCUUCAGACAAAUGUCUUGUAAUUAUAGAAGUUAUUUGUAUGAAUGCUGAGCUGUUUGAAAAUAAAAGGUUGUCUUGCAGAAGUCCUUUGAAGGUUUUUGUUGGGUUGGGAGGGUAUGAUGAAAUAGAUUUAUAUGAACUGGUAACUCGAGCACAAGACAGACUCUUCUAUGCAUGGUAAAUUAAUGCAAGCAAAAAUUUGUCCCAUUUGAGUACUUAUAUUUUAUAGUCAUACAUUGGCUUCGUGGCCAAGUGGUUAAUGUGCUUGGUUUCAGUGCAGAAGGUUCCGGGUUCAAAUCCCACCCCUGCCACAUUUCUCCAUGUAAUGUGGAGUUGCAUCAGGAAUGGCAUCCAGCGUAAAACCUGUGCCAAUUCAACAUGCAGAUCCACCUUGGAUUUGCUGUGGUGACCAGGAGUGCAAAUAAGGGAGCGGCCGAAGGGACUUACUUUUUACAUUUGCUUGGUAUCCACUAGAGAACGGCUAUUUGAGUUCCUGCAAAAAUCUAGUUCUAGGUUUUCUUGGUUGGUGCAGUUUCUAUUUGCGGUCAAUAAGAAGUGAAACUUGUGGAAAGUCGGUGGUUUCCAUCACACUGUACUAACUUGUAUAAAAUCAAAUUCAGUCAAAACAGGUUUUACACUGUAUAUCCUGAACUGUUACCAUGACAGGACAUGGGACUAACUGACAAAUGUCCAUUUUUAGCCAAGGCCAAAACAUGGGCAUUGGGUAUUGCGAAGACCUUGCGUCCAUCCAUCUGUCUGUGCUCAGCACAAGUCCAGUCCUAUUAUUGCCAGGGUCUUCAAAUUUACAGGGAGCAUUCUUGAGACACAGACCAGACAAAUUCAAAGAUGGCUAACCUUGACCUAUACUAAGGGGUUACAAGGUCAUAUUCUUUCGACACACUUUCAUUGAUUACAUGCUCAUAUGGCCAAGGGUAUUUUAGCAUGUCAUAUUUACAUUGUACAACACAUACAGUAGGUAAGUAGAAUUUAGUCCUUUGGGGGUAUGAAAUGAUUGCACUUUAGACUGAGUUAAGAGCAUAUUGCAGUCAGACUGAAUUUAAAGCUUAAAUUCAAAUGGCAAUGAGUGACAUGUUACUGAUUCAGAAAGACAAUGGGAAAACCUCCAAAUGUCAACAACUGAAAGAGGUCACCCAUUAAAUCAGAUUUGCACAUAAGCUCUGCAAAAUUUCCCUGCAUUGUCAAUCAUUUUAAGUGACUUCUGAAUCACUAGUUCUGAACUACAUGACAAAUAACAGAAGACAGUCUUCUUUAAUAAUUACUACAUACAACAAAGUCCCCAUCCAUUCCAAUUGAAUGUCUUCAUGUCCACAUUAAUUACUGGAUAUGAUAAAAACUCACUCAUUUACAAAUCACUUGCCAGUUUCCAUUAAACUGUUAAAAUCAUAUAAUCAGCCAUAACUUAAUGACCCACCACAGAAACGUCCAAUUAGGCUCAUUGUUCAUCUUAGGGAGAUUCUUUAUGAUUGACCUUGGUCUUCAAACGUUCAGUCAAGGUCAAAGUUGACCAGAAAAAUUAGUAUUCUGUAUUUAAAUCUGAUGCAUGGAAGUGGCAUAUUGGUCCUAGAACACAGUUAACAUUUUAUGGUCACAGUUCAAAUUUCAAGGUUAAACAAAACAUGAAAAAUGCAUAAUCAAUUAAGAUCCAACUUGAAUUUCACCAUUCUGGAAGUGCCAUUUUGGUCAAUAAUGACUUGAAAUCUUCAAGUAAAACCACUUGCGGGAGAUUGUUGGCAUCACACCAAAACCUUUCAGAAAAUGUUUCAUCCAACUUGAAUUUUGCCGUUCUGAUUUUUAAAUGGACCCACUUGCUGGAUAUUGUUGGCUUCAUGCCAGAACUCAAACAUUUGAUCUAACUUGAAUUUUGCCAUUUUGAAGUUCCAGUCAACAUUUAUUUCAUAGUUUGACGUCAAAAGUAAUUAUGUUGGCAGAGGUCCAUGCACUAUCUGAGCACAGUUCCAGUUUAAAGAUGUUUUUCUGUUCAUUUCCUUCAGGACAAAACAAUUUUAAUCUGUCCAGUAUUAAGUUACAACUUUUGACACCAUCACAGGCUAACCAGCUACAUAACAGUAGGAGUGAGCCAAUGUCCUAAAACUGCUUCUUGUCACCACUACCACUAUGGUUUGGUAGGAUGCAGAGAAUCCAUAUGAACAUAAUUGUGUGCAUGUUUAGAGUGCAUCUGCAACGUAUGCAGUGCUUCACUUGUUUCACAUUUUGUAUUACAGCCUUAUUCCAAAAAGUAGAAAAUUAAUUCCUCCCUCUUCAAAAAUUUACUCGCAACA